CUCAUUAAAUCAGUUAUCGUUUAUUUGAUAGUACCUUACUACUUGGAUAACCGUGGUAAUUCUAGAGCUAAUACAUGCUAAAAACCCCGACUUCGGGAGGGGUGUAUUUAUUAGAUAAAAAACCAAUGCCCUUCGGGGCUCUUUGGUGAUUCAUGAUAACUUAACGGAUCGCAUGGCCUUGCGCCGGCGACGGUUCAUUCAAAUUUCUGCCCUAUCAACUUUCGAUGGUAAGGUAUUGGCUUACCAUGGUUUCAACGGGUAACGGGGAAUUAGGGUUCGAUUCCGGAGAGGGAGCCUGAGAAACGGCUACCACAUCCAAGGAAGGCAGCAGGCGCGCAAAUUACCCAAUCCCGACUCGGGGAGGUAGUGACAAUAAAUACUGAUACAGGGCUCUUUUGGGUCUUGUAAUCGGAAUGAGUACAAUUUAAACCCCUUAACGAGGAACAAUUGGAGGGCAAGUCUGGUGCCAGCAGCCGCGGUAAUUCCAGCUCCAAUAGCGUAUAUUAAAGUUGUUGCAGUUAAAAAGCUCGUAGUUGAACCUUGGGCCUGGCUGGCCGGUCCGCCUCACCGCGUGUACUGGUCCGGCCGGGCCUUUCCUUCUGGAGAGCCGCAUGCCCUUCACUGGGUGUGUCGGGGAACCAGGACUUUUACUUUGAAAAAAUUAGAGUGUUCAAAGCAGGCCUUUGCUCGAAUACGUUAGCAUGGAAUAAUAGAAUAGGAUGUGCGGUCCUAUUUUGUUGGUUUCUAGGACCGCCGUAAUGAUUAAUAGGGAUAGUCGGGGGCAUCAGUAUUCAAUUGUCAGAGGUGAAAUUCUUGGAUUUAUUGAAGACUAACUACUGCGAAAGCAUUUGCCAAGGAUGUUUUCAUUAAUCAGUGAACGAAAGUUAGGGGAUCGAAGACGAUCAGAUACCGUCGUAGUCUUAACCGUAAACUAUGCCGACUAGGGAUCGGGCGAUGUUUCUAUCUUGACUCGCUCGG
rnacentral:rRNA from 1 species